CCUACGGGGUGCUGCAGUGGGGAAUAUUGGACAAUGGGCGAAAGCCUGAUCCAGCCAUGCCGCGUGUGUGAAGAAGGCCUUCGGGUUGUAAAGCACUUUCAGUGGGGAAGAAAGCCUUGGGGCUAAUACCCUCGAGGAAGGACAUCACCCACAGAAGAAGCACCGGCUAACUCCGUGCCAGCAGCCGCGGUAAUACGGAGGGUGCGAGCGUUAAUCGGAAUUACUGGGCGUAAAGCGCGCGUAGGCGGUCCGAUAAGCCGGUUGUGAAAGCCCCGGGCUCAACCUGGGAACGGCAUCCGGAACUGUCAGGCUAGAGUGCAGGAGAGGAAGGUAGAAUUCCCGGUGUAGCGGUGAAAUGCGUAGAGAUCGGGAGGAAUACCAGUGGCGAAGGCGGCUUUCUGGACUGACACUGACGCUGAGGUGCGAAAGCGUGGGUAGCAAACAGGAUUAGAUACCCCGGUUAGUC
rnacentral:rRNA from 1 species